rnacentral:rRNA from 1 species
CCUACGGGCGGCAGCAGUGGGGAAUAUUGCACAAUGGGGGAAACCCUGAUCCAGCGACGCCGCGUGAGUGAAGAAGUAUCUCGGUACGUAAAGCUCUUUCAGCAGGGAAGAAAAUGACGCUACCUGACUUAGAUGCCCCGGCUCUAUACGCGUACGCACCCGCGGUAACACGUAGGGGGCAAGCGUUAUCCGGAUUUAUCGGGUGUAAAGGGGGCGUAGACGGGAGGACACGGCUGGGGUGAAAUCUCGGGGCGUAAACCCGGAACUGCUUUUGAAACUGUGGGGCUUGAGUGCAGGAGAGGUAAGCGGAAUGCCUGGUGUAGCGGUGAAAUGCGUAGAUAUAAGGAAGAACACCAGUGGCGAAGGCGGAUCACUGGACCGUAACUGACGCUGAGGUUCGAAAGCGUGGGUAGCAAACAGGAUUAGAUACCCGGGUAGUC